GGGCGUGUGGUCUAGUGGUAUGAUUCUCGCUUUGGGUUUCGGAGUUUAAAAGCUCCAGGAUCAAGUAUGCGAGAGGCCCUGGGUUCAAUUCCCAGCUCGCCCC
rnacentral:tRNA from 2 species